rnacentral:rRNA from 1 species
GACGAACGCUGGCGGCGUGCUUAACACAUGCAAGUCGAACGAAGUGGCGAACGGGUGAGUAACGCGUAAUCAACCUGCCCUUCAGGGGGGGACACCAGUUGGAAACGACUGCUAAUACCGCAUACUGAAGGAGGGGAUUGCGUCUGAUUAGCUAGUUGGAGGGGGAACGGCCCACCAAGGCGAUGAUCAGUAGCCGGUCGGGGAGGAUGAACGGCCAAAUUGGGACUGGGACACGGCCCAGACCCCUACGGGAGGGAGCAGUGGGGAAACUUCCGCAAUGGAGGGAAGUCUGACGGAGCAACGCCGCGUGAGUGAUGACGGCCUUCGGGUUGGAAAGCUCUGUUAAGCGGGACGCGGUACCGGAAUAGAAAGCCACGGCUAACUACGUGCCAGCAGCCGCGGUAAUUC